AGUGAACGCUGGCGGUAGGCCUAACACAUGCAAGUCGAACGGCAGCACAGAGGAGCUUGCUCCUUGGGUGGCGAGUGGCGGACGGGUGAGGAAUACAUCGGAAUCUACUCUGUCGUGGGGGAUAACGUAGGGAAACUUACGCUAAUACCGCAUACGACCUACGGGUGAAAGCAGGGGAGCUUCGGACCUUGCGCGAUUGAAUGAGCCGAUGUCGGAUGAGCUAGUUGGCGGGGUAAAGGCCCAACAAGGCGACGAUCCGUAGCUGGUCUGAGAGGAUGAUCAGCCACACUGGAACUGAGACACGGUCCAGACUCCUACGGGAGGCAGCAGUGGGGAAUAUUGGACAAUGGGCGCAAGCCUGAUCCAGCCAUACCGCGUGGGUGAAGAAGGCCUUCGGGUUGUAAAGCCCUUUUGUUGGGAAAGAAAUCCAUCUGGUUAAUACCCGGGUGGGAUGACGGUACCCAAAGAAUAAGCACCGGCUAACUUCGUGCCAGCCGCCGCAGUAA
rnacentral:rRNA from 1 species